UGGGGAGGAGAAAUAGGAUGCGGACCCCCGGGCCCGGCCAACUAGCUGCCCUUCUUCCCUUCGCCAGAAGAGCCAGAAGAAGAGGGAAGGCAACCCUUGCCCCCCGCGAUCCCCGGAAGGGAAACUGAGAUGGAGAAUCAAAGAGUUGGAAGGAUGAGAGACUCUGAUGCUCAGCUUUUCUCAAGGCACACGUGUGUGUGGGUGUGUGAGUGUUAAACACCCCUUCCCCCCGCCCCUUGGGGCAGCUUUCGAGCAUCUGGCCCCAGCCACCUUGGAAGUUCAAGAACACUGCCGGAUUCCUCGCUGAGGUGGACAGCCCUCCAAACAAAUCAAACAGACUAACCAAGACCAAAAACUCAAGUCCUAAUUUCUUUGGAGCAUAAAUAAAGGGUCCCAUAAUCUCAAACUA